rnacentral:misc_RNA from 1 species
UAGGGAUGUGAUAUACUUAAGCCACUUAACGCGUGGAACGUUAUGAUUGAUUGGCGCUCCCAAGGUUAACGAUGUUGUUACUGCAGUCAGUUCUGAGAGGACUUAUCUAAUAAUGAAGAAUGGUACAGUAAAAUGGUUCAAUGCGGAUAAAGGGUUUGGUUUUAUUACGGGUGAAGACGGUACCGAUGUCUUUGUUCAUUUUUCAGCGAUUCAAACUGAUGGCUUUAAAACCUUAGAUGAAGGUCAAAAAGUAACUUAUGAUGAAGAACAGGGCGAUCGUGGCCCCCAAGCAACGAACGUUCAACCACAAUAGUAACUGUUGGGCCGAACCAUUAUCAUUAACUGGUUCGGUUU